rnacentral:rRNA from 1 species
CUACGGGAGGCAGCAGUAGGGAAUUUUCGGCAAUGGAGGAAACUCUGACCGAGCAACGCCGAGUGAAUGAAGACAUAUUUCGGUAUGUAAAGUUCUUUUAUCAGGGAAGAAUGACCCGUGGAAAAACGGGUGUGACGGUACCUGAUGAAUAAGCCCCGGCUAACUAUGUGCCAGCAGCCGCGGUAAUACAUAGGGGGCAAGCGUUAUCCGGAAUUAUUGGGCGUAAAGGGUGCGUAGGCGGCCAUUUAAGUCCUUGGUAUAAGUGCAGUGCUUAACGCUGUGAUGCUAAGGAAACUGGAUGGCUUGAGUGAGAUAGAGGCAAGUGGAAUUCCAUGUGUAGCGGUAAAAUGCGUAAAUAUAUGGAGGAACACCAGUGGCGAAGGCGGCUUGCUGGGUCUUCACUGACGCUGAGGCACGAAAGCGUGGGGAGCAAACAGGAUUAGAUACCCUGGUAGUCCACGCCGUAAACGAUGAGUACUAAGUGUUGGAGAAAUUCAGUGCUGUAGUUAACGCAAUAAGUACUCCGCCCGAGUAGUACGUACGCAAGUAUGAAACUCAAAG